CUGGUAAUCAACCAAACCAAUCGACAUAUCCAACAUCUAAGACAGAUAACCCGGGUGAGUUGGUGUCUAUAUGGAACCAACCAACAACACCAACAUCUGGUAAUCAACCAAACCAAUCGACAUAUCCAACAUCUAAGAAAGAUAAACCGGGUGAGUUGGUGUCUAUAUGGAACCAACCAACAACACCAACAUCUGGUAAUCAACCAAACCAAUCGACAUAUCCAACAUCUAAGAAAGAUAACCCGGUGACUUCUAUAAUCGGUGGAUCAGUGGGCGGAGUUAUUUUACUGGUUAUAAUAAUAGUUGUCAUAGUCUGUGUAGUACGAAAAAGGAAAAGGGAGGUAAUCUAUGAAAGCACUAAUGACGCACAGAAUGAUCCGCAUACUUACAGUUGCUUUUCAGAACAAAGACCAGGGGAAAUAACUCACCAACCUAAAGCCACCAAGGAAACUCUGCGCAUGGAUAACUGUAUUGAUAAUAAUACACCUACCUAUGUUAACCAGCAGCUGGAAUAUCCUCAGAAUGACGCGAGGUCUGAUUACGUUGUUGGUGAUUACGUUAAUGUUGAAAAAGCCGAAGAGUAAAGAAUGAAUAAUCGACGUGUAGUUGAAUAAAUAGUUGUUUCUUUCUUCCAAAUGGUUUACCACGUGCUCUUUAGAUCAUACGGUCUGCCAUUGAAUCAAGUGGUGUGGUUUAGAUUGGCCUGAUUGAAAUGAAAAUGAACCAUAUGCUAGUCCCGAAAUGACCUAGUUUGUGUCGAGUGAACUUUAAACCCCCACCUCUCUCCCUCUCCCUCUUUGUACUAUAGUUGUUCUUUGUUUGAUAAAGGCGAGAGAACACUCUUCGAAUCGUCACCAGAAAUAAACAUCUAUGUAAUUUGUAUUCUAUACAAUUGUGUCAUGUGUUAUAUCUAUUGUCAAUAAUUGCGACAACUAGUUUGAUUUAUUUACAAAUGGCGCCAAUAAUUGAGACAGCAUGACGUAUGAUUUUUUCCCAAAUGGAAUUUUAAUAAAAUGAACGUGGAUUUAACUAUUAUUCUGAUAUUUAAAAAAAAAAACCCAUCUUUGUCGGUUUGAGACCAGGGUCCUGUUUCUCGGAAUCUUAACUAAAGAUAAAAUCCAAAUUUUAGUAGAUACUUCAAUUUUGAUUGGCUAAGCACUAAAUCAAUCUAAUAUUAUCCAAUCAAAUUAAUAAAAUUUGGAUAAUAUCUUAGUUAAAAUUUAAUGAAACAGGCCCCUGUUACUGCUUCCAAGAUGUCGCUCUGUUGGGUUGCAAGAUUUCCAUUCAUGUAUUAAAACUAUAUUUUUUAGAAAGUAAUCAACCGUGUAAUAUAAUCAAAUCAAACUUGUAAGCCAGCAAUUAAUAUUUAUUAAAACCGGGAGUGAUGAAAUUGGUUCAAAUUGCUCGC